rnacentral:rRNA from 1 species
UACGGGGGGGGCAAGCGUUGUUCGGAAUUACUGGGCGUAAAGGGCGCGUAGGCGGCCUUCUAAGUCGGACGUGAAAUCCCUCGGCUUAACCGAGGAACUGCGUCCGAUACUGAAAGGCUUGAAUCCGGGAGAGGGAUGUGGAAUUCCAGGUGUAGCGGUGAAAUGCGUAGAUAUCUGGAGGAACACCGAUGGCGAAGGCAGGUCUCUGGGCCAUAACUGACGCUGAGAAGCGAAAGCAUGGGGAGCGAACAGG